CAAUAGCGUAUAUUAAAGUUGUUGCGGUUAAAAAGCUCGUAGUUGGAUUUCUGUAUGAGGAGAGUGGUCCGCUCUACGAGCGCGCAUCUACUACUGCUCGUGCAUCCAGAAAGUUAAGGUGCGUUGCUUCGUUGCAAUGUCCGUAGCUUUCUCUUUUACUUUGAGGAAAUUAGAGUGUUCACGGCAGGCAAUCGCCCUGAAUACAUUAGCAUGGAAUAAUAAUAUAGGACUCCGGUUCUAUUUUGUUUGGUUUCUUAGAGCUGGAGUAAUGAUUAAUAGGGAGUAAUUGGGGGCGAUUCGUAUUAUCACGUCAGAGGUGGAA
rnacentral:rRNA from 1 species